rnacentral:ncRNA from 1 species
ACAAAUGCGUUGAUAGGGAAGAGUAAUUUGGUUCCCGCUUUCAGAGAGCCGCCGGGUGGUGCGAGGCGGCAGGGGAGAAAAAUGAAAAUCGCCCUUGAGCAGCACGCUGAACCCCGAAAGGGUAGUAAGCGGUGCCGGUUCCCUCCGUUACCGGGGCAGCAUUCGGCAUUCGGCCCGAUGUGAACAGAGAGGCCCUGGACAGCAGGGCAAUAAGAGUGGUACCGCGGGGGAGCAAGACCUUCGUCUCUUAA